rnacentral:miRNA from 1 species
UCGGUGAAUGGCUUGGCAUG